UAUGUGAUCGUCUCUCGCAUAUCAAUAAGCGGAGGAAAAGAAACUAACAAGGAUUCCCCUAGUAACGGCGAGUGAAGCGGGAAGAGCUCAAAUUUGAAAUCUUAAAGGGUUUCCCUUUACGAAUUGUAGUUUAAAGAAGUGUUUUCUGUUGAGGUUUUGGUAAAAGUUCUUUGGAAUAGGACAUCAUAGAGGGUGAGAAUCCCGUAUUUGACCUUUACUUUCAACUUUGUGAUACACUUUCAAAGAGUCGGAUUGUUUGGGAAUGCAGUCCAAAAUGGGUGGUAAAUUUCAUCUAAAGCUAAAUAUUGGCGAGAGACCGAUAGCGAACAAGUACCGUGAGGGAAAGAUGAAAAGAACUUUGAAAAGAGAGUUAAACAGUACGUGAAAUUGUCAAAAGGGAAGCGUUUGACACCAGUGUUGUUUUUCUGAAAAUCAAUUAAAGAACUGUUUAUGCUAAGUUGUUUAGACUUUAUCAGCUAACUGUUUAGUUUUGAGCUUUUCUUUAAUGCACUUUUCAGUUAACAAGUCAACAUCAAUUUCUUUUGCUGUAAAAAAGCUUGAGGAAGGUGGCUUGAGAUUCGUCUUAAGUGUUUAUAGCCUCUUGCCUAUGCAGUCAGAGAGAUUGAGGUCUGCAGCGUAGAUCCUUCGGGGCUAAAUGCAUUUGUGCUAAGUUAUAGCAUUUUAUAGACAACUUGUUGACUAUGAUUUGUCUUGUAGCUUACUCGCUUAUGUUAUUUUACCUACGCUUAGGAUGUUGACACACGCGCGUGCUCG
rnacentral:rRNA from 1 species